rnacentral:rRNA from 1 species
UACGAAGGGGGCUAGCGUUGUUCGGAAUUACUGAGCGUAAAGCGCACGUAGGCGGAUUUGUUAGUCAGGGGUGAAAUCCCGGGGCUCAACCUCGGAACUGCCUUUGAUACUGCAAAUCUCGAGUCCGGAAGAGGUGAGUGGAAUUCCUAGUGUAGAGGUGAAAUUCGUAGAUAUUAGGAAGAACACCAGUGGCGAAGGCGGCUCACUGGUCCGGCACUGACGCUGAGGUGCGAAAGCGUGGGGAGCAAACAGG